AUUGCCAUGUUUUUCUUCUCUGCUGUCUCUUAGAGGUCUGUUCAUCAUCGAUGAUAAAGGUGUCCUCCGGCAGAUCACCAUGAAUGAUCUUCCAGUGGGCCGCUCCGUUGACGAGACCCUCAGACUGGUGCAGGCCUUCCAGUACACUGACAAACACGGAGAAGUGUGUCCGGCUGGAUGGAAGCCUGGCAGUGACACGAUCAUCCCAGACCCCGCAGGCAAACUCAAGUACUUUGAUAAACUCAAAUGAGGUUAAUGUUUCACUGGAGGUUUUUGUUCGGGUUUGUUUCCAAAGUGCAGAAUAAAAGGAGAGUUUUGAUAAA